AUAGGAAUGUGGACAGUGUGGAAAAUUUGGGUUCACUCGUUAUUUCCUCAACAUUGACCGUUGAAUUGACGAGAGUAUUAAUUGAUCAUUAUCUCCAUUAGUAUAUAUUCCAAGUUUCAAACUUCAUUGUUGACUGUAUGGUCUCCUAUUUAAUUUUAUUCGAAAACGAGUAAACCUGAGAGAACCUACGUUUCCCCAUAGGUCUUUUAAUUUUAGGUUACAUUUUCGUCAAUUUCCCUUGCAGGCACAUGAAGAAUCUUACAUAAAAGAGUAAGAAAAACAAGACAUCUGCUGCUAGAAUAUAUUCUAAGUCACAUACACACACACAAAAAAAAGUACUAUAAGCACCAGCUGGUAAUGUAUAAAAGAAGAAAGAAGCUAGGUCUAGUUCUUUAUAGGAAUUUGUUUAUGUAUACUUAUUAAAUUUAGCGUAAACAAUGUAUAAUUACAUACAUUAUCAGUAUGGAUAAAUUCGUCAAAAUUUAUGUAAUAGCGUUGUGUGCGGUGCUGCGAUAUGAAGUGCUAUCAAGUUCACAUCUUGAAGAUUUAGUCGUAUGUUGAAGGAAAGAUUGCUCCUUCAUAAAUACUUAUUUGUAGUAAGUGUUUAUACCAAACAGUAAAUUUACUACAGUUAAAGUGAUUUUAUGAGGUGAAAAUACAUGUUAAUUAACCAUGAUAAUUAAGUUCAAAAGAAAUAUGUGUAAACACAUAUUAUGUAUUUAUUGCUUUAAUACAAAUAUGGAGUGUGACUAAGUUUUUAACCUGUUCAUGAUUUAUAGGUAAACUUCAGAGUUCCUCUCUUCAAUACUACCCAAAUUAACUUGGUCAAUGGAUUGAAACAUAUAGUUUACAGAUGAUAAAUAAAUGUUGGUCGACUUUGAGAAUUUUUUUUUAUGUAAAGGAAUCUCUAAGAAAACGCCAAACAUCCUAUUGAAUGGGAGGAUCAAGCCACCUUAAGAUUCGGUGCUAAACUUUAUAAUACUCAACAACAGAAUGUGGGAGUGUUGAUUCAUAAAGGCCGGCGGCACAGACACCAAUAAAUCACCGGCCAGCUACUUCCCAAGGAAGAUUUCCAGUAACAUGACUUGCAGAAAUCAAUAAGUUGGCCAUCAACAUUAUGAUAUAGGAAAAGUUUUUCUUUUGCCA